GCAGGGUCCCCAAGGUGGCACCAGGUCCCUGGGUGGUCCUGGAGGUGCAGGACACAAGGUCAUGGGAUGGGUGAAGGUCCCCAGGGUGGCACCAGGUCCCUGGGUGGUCCUGGAGGUGCAGGACACAGUGUCAUGGGAUGGGUGCAGGGUCCCCAGGGUGGCACCAGGUCCCUGGGUGGUCCUGGAGGUGCAGGACACAAGGUCAUGGGAUGGGUGAAGGUCCCCAGGGUGGCACCAGGUCCCUGGGUGGUCCUAGAGGUGCAGGACACAGUGUCAUGGGAUGGGUGCAGGGUCCCCAAGGUGGCACCAGGUCCCUGGGUGGUCCUGGAGGUGCAGGACACAGUGUCAUGGGAUGGGUGCAGGGUCCCCAGGGUGGCACCAGGUCCCUGGGUGGUCCUGGAGGUGCAGGACACAAGGUCAUGGGAUGGGUGAAGGUCCCCAGGGUGGCACCAGGUCCCUGGGUGGUCCUAGAGGUGCAGGACACAAGGUCAUGGGAUGGGUGCAGGGUCUCCAGGGUG